rnacentral:rRNA from 1 species
GACGAACGCUGGCGGCGUGCUUAACACAUGCAAGUCGAACGGAAAGGCCCUGCUUUUGUGGGGUGCUCGAGUGGCGAACGGGUGAGUAACACGUGAGUAACCUGCCCUUGACUUUGGGAUAACUUCAGGAAACUGGGGCUAAUACCGGAUAGGAGCUCCUGCUGCAUGGUGGGGGUUGGAAAGUUUCGGCGGUUGGGGAUGGAUUCGCGGCUUAUCAGCUUGUUGGUGGGGUAGUGGCUCACCAAGGCUUUGACGGGUAGCCGGCCUGAGAGGGUGACCGGCCACAUUGGGACUGAGAUACGGCCCAGACUCCUACGGGAGGCAGCAGUGGGGAAUAUUGCACAAUGGGCGGAAGCCUGAUGCAGCAACGCCGCGUGCGGGAUGACGGCCUUCGGGUUGUAAACCGCUUUCGCCUGUGACGAAGCGUGAGUGACGGUAAUGGGUAAAGAAGCACCGGCUAACUACGUG